UCCCCCCAUACCGACGUCAAUAGCUACUGCACCAGCAGCACCACCAGCUCCGCCCAAUAUGGUCAUCCCCCCUCCUCCGUGUCCGUGUCUGUGUCCAUGUCCAUGUGUAUGUGAUGAUGGAGUAAUUGCUCCAAAGAUACGUAAUAAGCAAGUGAUUACUAUGAAUGCAGCAACCACAGAAAACACCACCAAGAAAGCUAUUACAGGCGUAUUCAUCACGACGAUGCUUCACGAUUCAAGCUCGAGUCACCUUAAAGAUCUUGUAUAUCUGUCUGUCU
rnacentral:lncRNA from 1 species